UUUUCACCUGGAGUUCUCCUCAAACCACUUCAGUUGCUAGCUAGCUUCUAGCUCAUUCUUGCAUUGGCACUGUUUUAUAAGUGCGCAAUGCAGGGAUAUAGAUUUUUUUGCACAGUGAAGUGUUUGGGGGGACUCUGGGUGCCAA
rnacentral:pre_miRNA from 1 species